GAUGAACGCUGGCGGCGUGCCUAAUACAUGCAAGUCGAACGCGCAGCGAAAGGUGCUUGCACCUUUCAAGCGAGUGGCGAACGGGUGAGUAACACGUGGAUAACCUGCCUCAAGGCUGGGGAUAACAUUUGGAAACAGAUGCUAAUACCGAAUAAAACUUAGUAUCGCAUGAUACAAAGUUAAUAGACGCUACGGCGUCACCUAGAGAUGGAUCCGCGGUGCAUUAGUUAGUUGGUGGGGUAAAGGCUUACCAAGACGAUGAUGCAUAGCCGAGUUGAGAGACUGAUCGGCCACAUUGGGACUGAGACACGGCCCAAACUCCUACGGGAGGCUGCAGUAGGGAAUCUUCCACAAUGGGCGCAAGCCUGAUGGAGCAACGCCGCGUGUGUGAUGAAGGCUUUCGGGUCGUAAAGCACUGUUGUAUGGGAAGAAAUGCUAAAAUAGGGAAUGAUUUUAGUUUGACGGUACCAUACCAGAAAGGGACGGCUAAAUACGAGCCAGCCGCCGCAGUAACAC
rnacentral:rRNA from 1 species